UUUGUGUUACGUGGAGAAAUUGUUACCAUUUUCGGCUCAAAAAUGGUAACAAUUUCCGCACGUAAUACAAA
rnacentral:miRNA from 1 species